GACGAACGCUGGCGGCGUGCUUAACACAUGCAAGUCGAACGGAAAGGCCCUGCUUUUGUGGGGUGCUCGAGUGGCGAACGGGUGAGUAACACGUGAGUAACCUGCCCUUGACUUUGGGAUAACUUCAGGAAACUGGGGCUAAUACCGGAUAGGAGCUCCUGCUGCAUGGUGGGGGUUGGAAAGUUUCGGCGGUUGGGGAUGGACUCGCGGCUUAUCAGCUUGUUGGUGGGGUAGUGGCUUACCAAGGCUUUGACGGGUAGCCGGCCUGAGAGGGUGACCGGCCACAUUGGGACUGAGAUACGGCCCAGACUCCUACGGGAGGCAGCAGUGGGGAAUAUUGCCCAAUGGGCGGAAGCCUGAUGCAGCAACGCCGCGUGCGGGAUGAUGGCCUUCGGGUUGUAAACCGCUUUCGCCUGUGACGAAGCGUGAGUGACGGUAAUGGGUAAAGAAGCACCGGCUAACUACGUG
rnacentral:rRNA from 1 species